AUAUAUUUUUUUAAUUUACUUACUUUGGUGAUUGUGUAACUAGCGGCAUAGUGCCAAAUUCAAAAUCCGAAUAUAGAAGGGAUGCACUGUCUUCUAGAUCAAUGACUUGAGUCAAGUUUGGGUAACGUUCUCGUAUCCAUCCGUAUAUGAAAUGUUAUACCCAAUAUUAUCUGGACUGGAUAAAGAUACAUUGGCAUACAUGGUGCGAUUAUCCCACAAAUAAAUGCCUGAAACUGCAUACGUAGUAGCUAUUUGCAAAAUGUUCUCUGGUUGAAUCUCAGUAAAAUUUACUUUUACACAGGCAAUAUUAGCUUGUGCUGGACUUCGCGCAAUUUCCCACCAUACUCCGCUUAUCUUUUUCAUUAUUGCACAUAAAUUAGUUCCAAUAUAAUGUAAAUUUUAAAACAAGAGUUAUUUACCUGUGUAACAUUAACGGGUAUGCUGUGAGAUUCCGAGCACAAUGCUCGUCGAAUUUGAGCUUCGGCCGAGAUAUUUACAAAAAACAGCGAUCCAAUACUAAGUAAUAAUUUUAACAUGUUUGGAUUGUGUUGGCAGUUAGAUAAGGCAGAACUGAAUUUCACAAAGUAUUUUUCUGCGAAUGAACCUAUGAAAUGUCAGACAUUCGUUAUCUUAUAUUGAAAAAUGGCAGAAAUUAAAAUCACAAAUAAACAUGAAAAUAUUGUUGCAAAUAUUAUGUUAUAAGUCCCAGAUCCAGCAGCGUAACAUCUGUAAAAAAUUGUUUUAGCAGGAACAGGAAAUUUUUGUAUUGAGAAAUACUUACGUUGGUGAUUGAGUGACCAAUGGUAGGGUGCCAAAGGAAAAAUCCGAAUAUAAAGAUGAUGC